rnacentral:rRNA from 1 species
CGCCUUCUUGCUUAACCAGUAUAAGAGGUCCCGCCUGCCCAGUGAAUAUAUGUUUAACGGCCGCGGUAUUCUGACCGUGCGAAGGUAGCGUAAUCACUUGUCUUUUAAAUGAGGACUUGUAUGAAUGGCAUCACGAAGACCUUACUGUCUCCUAUAUCCAAUCAGUGAAACUGAUCUCCCCGUGAAGAAGCGGGGAUUUCACCAUAAGACGAGAAGACCCCAUGGAGCUUUAAACAUAAACCACCUGCUUUACCCUCUCAACCCACGGGGAAACUAAUUAAUUAAGCAGUGCUGGCUUACGUUUUCGGUUGGGGCGACCACGGAGAAUAAUAAAUCCUCCAUGAUGAAAGAACACCUCUUAACCAAGAGCCACAGCUCUAAGUAUUAGAACUUCUAACCUUAAUUGAUCCAAUCUUAUUGAUCAACGAACCAAGUUACCCUGGGGAUAACAGCGCAAUCCAUUUCAAGAGUCCAUAUCGACAAAUGGGUUUACGACCUCGAUGUUGGAUCAGGGCAUCCUAGUGGUGCAGCCGCUACUAAAGGUUCGUUUGUUCCACGAUUAAAGCCCU